rnacentral:lncRNA from 1 species
UAGAGACAGCAGGAGCGGUAGAGAUACUCUCAAAGAUCGGCUAUGAAAAAGCCAACUGACACUUACUCUUGUGUUACUGACUUGUUGCACCCUCGACAACUACUAUGAUUAUUAUUAUUUGACCAUGCUGGUCAUUUAUGAACAUUUGAACAUCUAGGCCAUGUGGUGUUAUAAUCUCCAACCGGCACAGCCAGAAGAGGACUGGCCACCCCUCAUAGCCUGGUUCCUCUCUAGGUUUCUUCCUAGGUUUUGGUCUUUCUAGGGAGUUUUUCCUAGCCACCGUGCUUCUACACCUGCAUUGCUUGCUGUUUGGGGUUUUAGGCUGGGUUUCUGUACAGCACUUUGCGAUAUCAGCUGAUGUAAGAAGGGCUAUAUAAAUACAUUUGAUUUGAUUUGAUGCGUUGAGCUUGCACAGGUGGUACCGGACUGGUGACACACACUUCAGGGCAAGUGCGAGGAGCAGGCACAGGACGUACCGGACUGGGGAGGCGCACUGGAGGCCUGAUGCGUGGGGCCGGCACAGGUUGCACCGGACUGGUAACACGCUCUUCAGGGCGAGUGUUGAGCAGAACACACUUGCACAACAUCUCUCUCAACUCUCCCCAUGUGGUCUCUGGCUCUUCCCCCUGCUCAGCCGCCAGCUCCAUGUGCCCCCAAUUUUUUUAUUGGGGUUUCUGUGGCCGUUGUCUGACGACACACUCCUCCAGAGUUUGCCAUUCGGGCUCUGGCACUCUCCUCGGCUCGACCGGCCACCCCUUGUGCUCCCCUCUCACCCCUUGUGCUCCCCCCUCAAGCAUAAACAAAUAAAUCAAAUAAACGAACAACUAAACGUGACUAUGUGGUGCACAAACACAAAACAAUAUCCCACAAACACAGGUGGGAAAAAUAGCUACUUAAAUAUGAUCCCCAAUUAGAGACAACGAUUACCAGCUGCCUCUAAUUGGGAAUCAUACAAAACACCAACAUAGAAAAUAUAAACUAGAACACAACAUAGAAUAUAAACUAGACUACCCCCUAGUCACGCCCUGACCUACUACACCAUAUAGAAACAAGGGCUCUCUAUGGUUAGGGCGUGACAGGUAGGACUACCUGAACUUGUCCAAUAUGAAACGUUUCAUUGCAAAAUGUUUUGCUACGGUAUGGCCUAAUAAACACAACCCAGCCUUUUAGGACAUCUUUCAGCACACAGGGGAAACCAACCAUUAUGUAAACUAAUGAGGAGGUUGGAUAUGAUUCUGUUUGCUAGUAAACGUCAAUACAACUCAAUGCCAU